rnacentral:rRNA from 1 species
ACGCACGCUGGCGGCGUGCUUCACCCAUGCAAGUCGUACGGUAAGGCCCUUUCGGGGGUACACGAGUGGCGAACGGGUGAGUAACACGUGAGUAACCUGCCCACAACUUUGGGAUAACGCUAGGAAACUGGUGCUAAUACUGGAUAUGUGCUCCUGCUGCAUGGUGGGGGUUGGAAAGCUCCGGCGGUUGUGGAUGGACUCGCGGCCUAUCAGCUUGUUGGUGGGGUAGUGGCCUACCAAGGCGGCGACGGGUAGCCGGCCUGAGAGGGUGACCGGCCACAUUGGGACUGAGAUACGGCCCAGACUCCGACGGGAGGCAGCAGGGGGGAAUAUUGCACAAGGGGCGCAAGCCUGAUGCAGCAACGCCGCGUGCGGGAUGACGGCCUUCGGGUUGUAAACCGCUUUCAGCAGGGACGAAGCUUUUUGUGACGGUACCUGCAGAAGAAGCACCGGCUAACUACGUG